rnacentral:rRNA from 1 species
GACAGAGGGUGCAAACGUUGUUCGGAAUUACUGGGCGUAAAGCGCGUGUAGGCGGCUAUGUAAGUCGGGCGUGAAAUCCCACGGCUCAACCGUGGAAGUGCACCCGAAACUGUCUGGCUAGAGUCCGGAAGGGGCGAGUGGAAUUCCUGGUGUAGCGGUGAAAUGCGCAGAUAUCAGGAGGAACACCAAUGGCGAAGGCAGCUCGCUGGAACGGUACUGACGCUGUGGCGCGAAAGCGUGGGGAGCGAACAGG